rnacentral:tRNA from 1 species
GGAGCAGUGGCAGCUCGUCGGGCUCAUAACCCGAAGGUCGCAGGUUCAAGUCCUGCC